rnacentral:lncRNA from 1 species
GACCAUACUGGGACCAGUAGGGCCAGCCUGGAGAGUCCUGGACCAUACUGGGACCAGUACAGCCAUGCCUCUGAAGGGUCCCCAGUAUGCUGGGACCAGUAAGGCCAGCCUGGAGAGUCCCAGAUCAUGUUGGGACCAGUACAGCCAUGCCCCUGAAGGGUCUCCACCAUGCUGGGACCAGUAGGGCCAGCCUGGAAAGUCCCAGAACAUACUGGGACCAGUACAGCCAACCUGGAGGGUCCUGGACCAUACUGGGACCAGUACAGCCACCCUGGAGGGUCCCCACCAUGCUGGGACCAGUAGGGCCAGCCUGGAGAGCCCCAGAACAUACUGGGACCAGUAAGGCCAGCCUGGGAAGUCCUGGAUCACGUUGGGACCAGUAGGGCCACCCCCUGAAGGGUCCCCAUCAUGCUGGGACCAGUAGGGUCAACCUGGAGGGUCCCCACCAUACUCGGCCACGGGAUGCGGAUUUUGUGGCCUCAGGAUGCAGGAUGCGUGGCCACGGGAUGCGGAUUUUGUGGCCUCAGGAUGCAGGAUGCUUGGCCACAGGAUGCAGAUUGUGUGGCUGCAGGAUGCAGGAUACGUGGCCGCAGGAUGUGGGAUGUGCAGCUGUGGAUGCUCAACCAUGGGAUGUGGGAUACGUGGCCAAAGGAUGCAGGAUGUGCAGCUGUGGGAUGCUCGGCCAUGGGAUGCGGAUUUUGUGGCCUCAGGAUGCAGGAUACGUGGCCACGGGAUGUGGGAUGUGCAGCCGUGGGAUGCUCAACCAUGGGAUGCGGGAUGCCCGGCCACAGGAUGCAGAUUGUGUGGCCACAGGAUGCAGAUUGUGUGGCCACAGGAUGCAAGAUACGUGGCCACAGGAUGCAGGAUGUGCAGCCACGGGAUGCUCAACCAUGGGAUGCUGGAUGCUCAGCCAUGGGAUGCAGAUUGUGUGGCCACAGGAUGCAGGAUGUGCAGCUGUGGAUGCUCAGCCAUGGGAUGCAGGAUGCCUGGCCACGGAAUGCAGAUUGUGUGGAUGCAGGAUUCAGGAUGCCCAGCCACAGGAUGUGGGAUGCCUGGCCAGGGGAUGCGGGAUGUGCAGCCACGGGAUGCAGAUUGUGUGGCCACAGGAUGCAGGAUGUGCAGCUGUGGAUGCUCAACCACAGGAUGCAGGAUGCCUGGCCAUGGGAUGCAGGAUAUGCAGCCGUGGGAUGCUCAACCACGGGAUGCAGGAUGUGCAGCUGUGGAUGCUCCACCACAGGAUGCGGGAUGCUCGGCCAUGGGAUGCAGGAUGUGCAGCCGUGGGAUGCCCAGCCAUGGGAUGCAGGAUGCUUGGCCACGGGAUGCAGAUUGUGUGGAUGCAGGAUGCAGGAUUCUCGGCUGCAGGAUGCAGAUUGUGUGGCCACAGGAUGCAGGAUGUGCAGCCACGGGAUGCUCGGCCACGGGAUGCAGAUUGUGUGGCUGCAGGAUGCGGGAUGUCCAGCCAUGGGAUGCAGGAUGGUUGGCCACGGGAUGCAGGAUGUGCAGCCAUGAGAUGCCCAGCCACGGGAUGCGGGAUGCUCGGCCAUGCAGCCAUGGGAUGCAGGAUGGUUGGCCACGGGAUGCAGGAUGUGCAGCCAUGAGAUGCCCAGCCACGGGAUGCGGGAUGCUCGGCCAUGGGAUGCAGAUUGUGUGGCCACAGACUGCAAGAUGCUCCACUGCUGGAUGCGGGAUACGUGGCUCCAGGAGGCAGGAUGUGCAGCCGUGGGAUGCUCAGCCAUGGGAUGUGGGAUGCUCGGCUGAUGGAUGCAGGAUGUGCAGCCACGGGAUGCAGAUUGUGUGGCCGCAGGAUGCAGGAUACGUGGCCACAGGAUGCAGGAUGUGUAGCCGUGGAUGCUCAACCACGGGAUGUGGGAUGCUCAGCCAUAGGAUGCAGGAUGUGUGGCUGCAGGAUGCAGGAUGCCCAGCCACGGGAGGUGGGAUGUGCAGCCACGGGAUGUGGAUUGUGCAGUUGCAGGAUACGUGGCCACAGGAUGCAGGAUGUGCAGCUGUGGAUGCUCAACCACGGGGUGCGGGAUGCCCGGCCAUGGGAUGCAGAUUGUGUGGCCGCAGGAUGCAGGAUGGUUGGCCAUGGGAUGCUGGAUGUGCAGUUGCAGGAUACGAGGCCACGGAAUGCAGGAUGUGCAGCUGUGGAUGCUCAACCACGGGUUGUAGGAUGCUCAGCCACAGGAUGUGGGAUGCUUGGCCACGGGAUGAGGAUUGUGUGGCUGCAGGAUGCAGGAUACGUGGCCACGGGAUGCAGGAUGUGCAGCCAUGGGAUGCUCAGCCACGGGAUGCGGAUUGUGUGGCCGCAGGAUGCAGGAUGUCCAGCCACGGGAUUGCAGAAUGUGGGAUGCUCGGCCACAGGAUGCAGAUUGUGUGGCCACAGGAUGUGGGAUGUGCAGCCGUGGGAUGCUUGGCCAUGGGAUGCGGAUUUUGUGGCUGCAGGAUGCAGGAUACGUGGCCACGGGAUGCCCAGCUGCGGGAUGUCCAUCCACGGGAUGCUCCGAGGCAGGAUCUGGGAUGCUUGGCCAUGGGAUGCCCAUCUGUGGGGUGCUCGGCCAUGGGAUGCAGGACACCCAGCUGCAGGAUGCCCAUCCAUGGGGUGACCAGGCACGGGAUGUGGGAUACCCAGCUGCAAGAUGCCCAUCUGUGGGGUGCCCAGGCGUGGGAUGUGGGACACCCAGCUGCAGGAUGCCCAUCCAUGGGGUGA